UACAGAGGGGGCAAGCGUUGUUCGGAAUUACUGGGCGUAAAGGGCGCGUAGGCGGCCUGUUAAGUCGAACGUGAAAUCCCCGGGCUCAACCCGGGAACUGCGUCCGAUACUGGCAGGCUUGAAUCCGGGAGAGGGAUGCGGAAUUCCAGGUGUAGCGGUGAAAUGCGUAGAGAUGUGGAGGAACACCAGUGGCGAAGGCGACUCUUUGGCCUGUAACUGACACUGAGGCGCGAAAGCGUGGGGAGCAAACAGG
rnacentral:rRNA from 1 species